rnacentral:lncRNA from 1 species
ACAUGUGCAUGGCAUCCAGAAGCAUCAUGUCACAAUUGCAUAUUUGAAUUCAAAUUUGAAUCUCAAAAGGCCUUAAAAGAUUUUAUUUCAAUUUAAACCCUACGGUUUACACCCAUUUGAGCUUUGGAUCUUCAAACCAAUAGGGUUUAAUUAUAAAAGGGGUUUAUUGCAUAAAUAGACAAUCCCAUAUUUUUUGGAUAAUUAUUUGGAGUUGAAAAAGUAUUUUAUUUAAAUAAUUAUAAAGCCCUAAAGGCAUUUCUAGGGAAAAUGUAUUUUGAUGUAUUUUAUUUUGAGGAUAAAUUACUCCCAAAAAUUGAAUCAUGAUAGAACAUGAUUUUACAAAUUUUCUGGAAUUUAUUUGGACCAAUUUGGAGUUCAAAAUCAAAAGAUACCAAAGAAAUGAGAAAAAGGAAAAAAGAAAAGGCUAAAAGAAAAAAAAAGAGAAAAAAAAAAGAAAGAGAACCGGACCGACCCAACUGGGCCGGCCCCGUCUCGCGCGCGCCAGCCCGUUUGCCC